GUGAGCUCUGAUCCAGCUGGAUGCUGAACAAUGAAAUCAUCUCCUUGCCUGGCAUUUGCCACUUUGUUCCUCCACAAUGCUCCUGGUGGGUCUGCUGAGCCUGGGUGGUGCCCACGACCUGGCUGACAGACCUGGCUCCUGGAGCACCGGGAAGCACCAGCCCUUGCCUGCCUAUCCUGUGCUCUGUGCUGCUGCUCACCACGGAAGAGCCAAGUCCUCGGUCUGUACGAGCAGGUAUCAGUAUCCUAAGACCUGCAACAUAUUUAAACAGAAGUUAACAUAACUGUUCACUGAAUGGAGCUACCUGAAAAUUCACAACUGCCAGAGAACUUCGUGCUGUCAGAGGAAAAGGACAGACAUUUCAACAGUCCAUUUCUGGCUCUUGGUCUCACCUUUGGGUAAGUGAGUAUUUUAGUGCGUCAUGGUACAGAAGACACAUGGGACAGAAGACAAGACAGAAGACAAAUAAUCCUGUUCAACCUACAAAAGGUAUGAUGGUUUUGAAAUACAGAGGUCUAGACCCACUUUCACAUUUCUUAACAGUGUUGAGAUGAUAAGAUGAUGUGUUACAACAUUACGUCAUUAAGAUGAGGUGCUACUGAUAAUUAAGUUCUUUUGAUAGCAAAAUAAUUCUGCAAUGAAGAUAAUUUCUGUCAUGCAGGCUCUCACAGUAGCAUUCAAAAAGAAAAGGAGGAUGUUUUGAACUUCUACUGGAAGACUGACAUCACACUUAAAGAUGAUAUGAGGAGUGAUAUCGGGUCUGUACAUUGCUAACACGUUAUUUAUACAUGCUAUAUGUUAACUUGCCAAACUGGAGAGUUUGUCACGUGGAGAACCAGGCAGUGCAGAAUGGGUUGACACAGUCUCAGAAGAUACAGGUCAUGAGAGCAACAAUUUGUUUUGACAGCAGUUGUGUUUCUACUACCAGAAAUGCUCUCUGCUUUUCUUAAAUACUUCUGACAUACUGCAUGGCAUUUAUUUUUCUGCCAAAUUAAUUAUGCAGCUUCCCUUUUCACCCUGCCAUCAGUAGCAUCAUUUUAUCCAGGGGUGAGCUGGAGCCUGAAGCUGGCCCGAGUGGGCUGGCUGGGCCCAGGCGAGCUGUGCCAGAACAUCAGGCUGUUUCUGUGUGUCAUUCCCCAAGCCAGGGCAGUUCCUGCUCCCCACCACAGAUCUGAGCUGUGUUUUCUGUGCUGUGUGGCACUCAAAUUAGACUUACCUGGCAGAUCUGCUUAUGGUAAGAUGGUAGGACAGACCUCUUUGUAUCUUACACAGAAUGGUUUAGGUCAGAAGGGACCUCUGGAGGCCAUGUAGUCCAGCCCCCUCUCAAGUAGCAGGGAAAGAACAUUUAAUUCUUCAUCGCAGAGUGCCAUGAAAGUCAUAGGUGAGCUUUGUUUGGUGUCCAGUGUGUUCUCUCUAGAAGUAUGAAGGCAGACUUUGAAAGCCAUGGAAGCAGAAUGCUGCAUGCCAAGUUAUCUGUAUUCUUUUUAAGUUUUUAAUAGUGUUUUGUACUCAUAUAUGUUGAUCCUACUUGGAUUAGCUGUAGGUAAACUACUCUAAAAUCCAUACUUGCAUGGAGACCCGACUGUGAUUCUAUUUGUGUGAUGAUAACCACAGCUAAUGGCAUUUUUCUAAUGAGUUUAUGAAAUUCUGGGGAGACUUUUAUUAUUUUGUUCUUGGAUUUUUUUUCUGCAUAUCUUUCCCUGAAGUAUAGUUUAGCUUUUUGUUAGUCUGUCAAAUAGACAUUCUCACAUUCUCAAGAGAAGAUUGGGUGUUUUUUUUUUUUUCCUGAGGCCAGCUGUUUUCUAAGAAGAAGAAAAAAGAGUUUUUUUUUGUUUUUUUUUGUUUUUUUAAUCGAUUUAAACAUGAGUUUGGGAGGAAUUUGGAUCUUUCUUUCUUUUGUAACUGUAGAAAACUUCUGUUGAGUGCAUGUCCCCAUGAUUUUCUUCAACAGCAUGUACUGUGGUAUUACAGAAUACACAAGAAUAUAAUAGAGUUAGACCUGAAUGUAGCAAUAUUUUGUUGUCAGUUAUGUUAGCUCAGAAAUGCCUCUAACAUUGUUAAAAGUAAUCCAAGAUGGAAUCUCUUACUGCCUGUUAGUUGUCUCUUGAUGAUGAUUAUUAUUUGAUAUUUGUUUCUUCAUGGAGGUAGAUAUUCAAGAAAAGAGUGAUGUUCCCAUCAAAACUAUUUUCCUGUAUACUAAAUUAAAACCUGAACAAAAAGAAAUGGUUUUGCCAGAUACGAUAAAGUUUUUAUUUUGAAUGUCUCUUUAACAUAUUUUAGAUACUUAGAAUGCUUUCAAAAUUAUUCGUAACCUUGCAAAGCCAUUUCUUGAGACAAAUAGAUAGGUUGGUUUGUUUGAACAUCCAGCAGAGAAACUGGAUUGCUGAAUUACCACCAGUUAUUAUUCAAGUGGGUUUUUUCUCUAAAGGCUGCUGCAGCCAGGGACAUUCAUCGGCGUAGCCCAGUGGAGACUUCACUUCCUACACACAGGUUUGGGAAAAGCCCAUUUGUUUCUGAACAAUUACAAAUUCAAAAUGUACAGGGCUUUAAUAUGCUAAUAUUGUCACAAUGAUUUUUUUUUUUAAAUUUAUGAAAGAAACAGAUUGAAGGAAAUCUUGUGCUUUAUUAUCAAGAUCUGCUGGAGGUAGAAUCUAUCAGUCUUACCUUUGUCUUGAAGUCCAGUAAUUCUGCAUUCCAGUGAUUAAUUUGCUAGGAAGUUCCAUCAUUCAGCACCCUUGAAUUGCAUCACUGAGUUUUUAUGAAACAUUUUUAUUACUGACUGAAAUAUUUGGAAAAAAAAUGGUUUAACGACUCUUGAGGCACAUAUUCUGAGUGAAAAAUAAAUAAAUAAAAUAGCCCA
rnacentral:lncRNA from 1 species